UAGGGAAUCUUCGGCAAUGGACGAAAGUCUGACCGAGCAACGCCGCGUGAGUGAAGAAGGUUUUCGGAUCGUAAAACUCUGUUGGUAGAGAAGAACGUUGGUGAGAGUGGAAAGCUCAUCAAGUGACGGUAACUACCCAGAAAGGGAUGGCUAACUACGUGCCAG
rnacentral:rRNA from 1 species